UACAGAGGUCCCAAGCGUCGUUCGGAUUCAUUGGGCGUAAAGGGUGCGUAGGUGGCGCCGUAAGUCAGGUGUGAAAUCUCGGGGCUUAACUCCGAAACUGCAUUUGAUACUGCGGUGCUUGAGGACUGGAGAGGAGACUGGAAUUUACGGUGUAGCAGUGAAAUGCGUAGAGAUCGUAAGGAAGACCAGUGGCGAAGGCGGGUCUCUGGACAGUUCCUGACACUGAGGCACGAAGGCCAGGGGAGCAAACGGG
rnacentral:rRNA from 1 species